GACGAACGCUGGCGGCGUGCUUAACACAUGCAAGUCGAACGGAAAGGCCCUGCUUUUGUGGGGUGCUCGAGUGGCGAACGGGUGAGUAACACGUGAGUAACCUGCCCUUGACUUUGGGAUAACUUCAGGAAACUGGGGCUAAUACCGGAUAGGAGCUCCUGCUGCAUGGUGGGGGUUGGAAAGAUUCGGCGGUUGGGGAUGGACUCGCGGCUUAUCAGCUUGUUGGUGGGGUAGUGGCUUACGAAGGGUUUGACGGGUAGCCGGCCUGAGAGGGUGACCGGCCACAUUGGGACUGCGAUACGGCCCAGACUCCUACGGGAGGCAGCAGUGGGGAAUAUUGCACAAUGGGCGGAAGCCUGAUGCAGCAACGCCGCGUGCGGGAUGACGGCCUUCGGGUUGUAAACCGCUUUCGCCUGUGACGAAGCGUGAGUGACGGUAAUGGGUAAAGAAGCACCGGCUAACUACGUG
rnacentral:rRNA from 1 species